rnacentral:rRNA from 1 species
AGACCCGAAACCCGGUGAUCUAGCCAUGGGCAGGUUGAAGGUUGGGUAACACUAACUGGAGGACCGAACCGACUAAUGUUGAAAAAUUAGCGGAUGACCUGUGGCUGGGGGUGAAAGGCCAAUCAAACCGGGAGAUAGCUGGUUCUCCCCGAAAGCUAUUUAGGUAGCGCCUCGUGAAUUCAUCUCCGGGGGUAGAGCACUGUUUCGGCUAGGGGGCCAUCCCGGCUUACCAACCCGAUGCAAACUGCGAAUACCGGAGAAUGUUAUCACGGGAGACACACGGCGGGUGCUAACGUCCGUCGUGAAGAGGGAAACAACCCAGACCGCCAGCUAAGGUCCCAAAGUCAUGGUUAAGUGGGAAACGAUGUGGGAAGGCCCAGACAGCCAGGAUGUUGGCUUAGAAGCAGCCAUCAUUUAAAGAAAGCGUAAUAGCUCACUGGUCGAGUCGGCCUGCGCGGAAGAUGUAACGGGGCUAAACCAUGCACCGAAGCUGCGGCAGCGACGCUGAUGCGUUGUUGGGUAGGGGAGCGUUCUGUAAGCCUGCGAAGGUGGCCUGUGAGGGUUGCUGGAGGUAUCAGAAGUGCGAAUGCUGACAUAAGUAACGAUAAAGCGGGUGAAAAGCCCGCUCGCCGGAAGACCAAGGGUUCCUGUCCAACGUUAAUCGGGGCAGGGUGAGUCGACCCCUAAGGCGAGGCCGAAAGGCGUAGUCGAUGGGAAACGGGUUA